CUUUAAAUUGAAUUGAAAAGAAAUAUUAGGAAGAUGGUUGAUUAUAUAUAAAGAAAUUAAGAGUAUCUGCUAAAGAGAAUAACCAUUUUGUUUUAUGUUAACUGCAUGUAUAUAACCAUUUUUCAUUUUUGUUAUCUCAAAUUUAAGAUACGCAAAUGCUCUUUUUCUAAACCAUCCAAACAUUAUAAAUAUGAAAAGAUGUAAUUUCAAGGUUCAUAUGAUAUCAUUCUAACGAAAACAAAUGGUUUGACCCAUCUGACGGCUGUAAACGAGUGUUUUCAGACGAUCGACGGCUCACACCAUUGAGAAACUGCAAAAGACAAAUCGUGGCUUAUAAUGCCUCCCUAUUUUAUGCUCUGAUUCCAAUGUCCCAGAUUGGAGUUACUUACAUGAUUUCAUUCUCUCUACUGUAAAGAACAUGGAGACGCAGUACAUCCACAUUUGGUGACAUUGGCGAAUUUUUCUUUACAUGAUCUAUUCUUUAUAUUUGUUCUUGGUAUCCUUGAUAAUGUACACAAGGUAGCAUUAGUGAUUUUUUCUUCGUAUGAUCUAUUCCUUAUAUUGGUUCUUGGUAUCCCCUGAUAGUUUAUAACUGUGAGUAAUGUGCUGAAAUUGAAGUAGAGAUUAAGGUACAAUUAUCCAACUUCCAUAUUUUUUUAAUGAUUCUUGGUCUAUUUUAAUUUAGGAGUAUGACUUUAAAUUGAAAUUUCAGGACUACAUGAAUCUGUUUAUGUAGAAUAAGCUAUGGGAGUAAGUUGCAAACCAACUGUUUGACAGUACAUCCCAAUGACCGAUGUUCUAACUCUAUAUUUCUAUGAGCUUGCUAUGAAUUUUCCUCUAACUUGGUUCAGGGUUCAUACCUUAUCUGAUUCCGAAAGGAUCUUUAUAGAUUUUGCUCGGUGAUAAAUUUUAUACAAUUCUAUUUUGAUAUGGGAUUAAUAUCCUCUGUUUUAUUUGUGAGUUUCGGUUUCAAAUUGGGUGUAUCAUUCUCCAUGUUCAUAUGCAUACCGAUGUAUUUAACUAAUAAAAAUGUAUGAGAUUAGAAUCUUUAGCGUAUAAGGUUCGUCAUAAGAUACAGACUCUUUGUACGAUCUAUUCCUUAUAUUGGUUCUUGGUAUCCCCUGAUAGUGUACACAAGGUAGCAUUAAUGAUUUUUUCUUCGUAUGAUCUAUUCCUACGAUCAUUAAUGUAUACAAGGUAGCAUUAGUGAUUCCACCGGGAGGCUUGAAACAACUUAAAGGUAAUCAUCCAAUUUUACUUUUAUGUUCAGUUGAAUUUGCAAUUUAUACACUUUGAUGCCCAGUAACAUUAGCAUAAACAGUUCACCGAUCGCUAUCCCCUAGACCAUUUGGUUGUGGAAUAAUUAAAAGAAUGUUUUUAAUUUUUUUCUUGGUGUUGUCUCUAUUCUUACCAGAUAUACCUUGUUUUUGGUAUACAACUUUAAUUGAUUGGAUUUACAAUUGUGCACUGUAAGAUAUAGUUAUGCUAAAAUCUUAGUAAUGUGAUCUUACUACCAUUAGCUAUAAUUUCUUUUCCUUUUCAACUUCAUUGCUGACUAUUUCUUGGUCAAGUACUCCACUUUGUCAUACAUAUGAGAAAUUUGAAAUUCUGACCUAAGAGUUGUUCUGUAUUUAUUUGAUCAAAGUGAUCUAGGAAACUAAGGAAACAUUUUUGCAACAUUUUAGAAUUGCACAGGCCUUUGAAAAAGAUGUCUACCCUUGGAGCAAGGGGGAAAUCCAACUGAUCAACUUUUAGGAUGCAUCUUAGGAAAAUUAAGGCAAUAAUAUUGAGAGAAACAACUGGUGGUGGUGAAGGUGGACCUGGUGAAUAAUGGUGACAAGAAGAGGCGUAUCUUUACUCCAAAGAUUAUUUUUGAUUAAAAUCACCUUGUGUCACUCCAUACCACCCACUGUUACAGAGGCAAGGCUUCUCAAUAGCUAGAGUAAGAGGAUUUUGAAAAGAUAAACAUUCAAGGCUAGGCCAAACAAAAAAGUCAGUCUACUUUUGUCAAUUUAUGAUGCCAAAAGCUGAAAUUGAUCAGACAUAGUAAUUUUUUUGUAUUAAAGAGUUUUUCUUACCAGAUCAUAUGUAAAAAUGUAAAGUUUUUGUUUGCUUACAAAUUUCAUUGAACUCGGAAGAUCAUCAUAAUGCACAUCUAUUUUAGCAGAUCAGGACACCAAAACCCACACAGAGAAUAACAUUUUCCUUAAAAUAUCUACUAAGUGCUUCAAAAGUUCACUAAUAAAUCAUUGAUUACCAUUUCAGAAAAGGAGAAAAAGUUUGUGGAUGAAAUUUUUGCUGAAGUAGUAUGAAGAAGGAAGAGCAAGGAUUAUUAAGGCUACUCCAUACCCGUAUAUCACAUACUACCCAAUGUUGAAGAAUCGGCUAAACAGACUGUAAUGUGUUUGCUGAAGCGAAUAACAAUAAUUAUAUACUUACUAUUGGCACUCAAAUAUUGGAAUUAUUGCACAUGUUUCAAUCCGGGGUUGAGGCAUAAUAUAUAGAGGAAGAAUGCAACUAAAAUUCCUUUCUGUCCAGUAGAUUUCACCGCGUCUUGAUACAUCGCAUUGUCAUGGGCACCUAUCUGAAAAUGCAAUAUGUUUUUAUUUAUUUAUUUUUAA